rnacentral:rRNA from 1 species
UACGUAGGGUGCAAGCGUUAAUCGGAAUUACUGGGCGUAAAGCGUGCGCAGGCGGUGAUGUAAGACAGGUGUGAAAUCCCCGGGCUCAACCUGGGAAUGGCAGUGGAUACUGGCAAGCUGGAGUGCGGUAGAGGGUAGUGGAAUUCCCGGUGUAGCAGUGAAAUGCGUAGAGAUCGGGAGGAACAUCAGUGGCGAAGGCGGCCAUCUGGGACAACACUGACGCUGAAGCACGAAAGCGUGGGGAGCAAACAGG